UUGAGGCAGGAUCAAGACCCUGCCCCCUGCAUCAAGACUGAGCUAGGUGUCCCACCAUAGGUAAUGGGCUCCAAAAAGCCAGCUCAUACACCAGGGAUAGAUCCUGAUCCCACUGCCAGGGGCCCUUCAAACAGACCAAGCUGCGCAACUGUCUCCCAUAUGGAGAGAACCUAGUCCAGUCCCAUGCAGGCUCCACAGCUGUUGGUCUAAAGUUCAUGAGUUCCCACUAGGUUGGUUUGGUCAUCUCUGCAUGUUUCCCCAUCAUGAUCUUGAUCCUCCUUGCUUAUAGAAUCCCUCUUCCCUCUCUUCGACUGGACUCCUGGAGCUCAGCCUGGUGCUUGGCUGUGGAUCUCUGCAUCUGUUUCCAUCAGUUACUGGAUGAAGGCUCUCUGAUGACAGUUAGGGUAGUCACCAAUCUGAUUACUGGGGUAGGCCAGUUCAGGUACCCUCUCCACUAUUGCUAGUAGUCUGAUCUGGGGUCAUCCUUGUGGAUUCCUGGGAAUUUCCCUGGCACCAGGUUUCUCCCUAUCCCUCUCUCCAUAAUGGUUCCCUCUAUCAAGAGAUCUCUUUCAUUGCUCUCCCACUCCAUCCCUGUUCCAGCUGGACUAUCCUGUUCCCUAAUGCUCUCAUCCCAUAUCCUCUCCUCUCUAAUACUGCCCCCCCCCCCAUUUACUCAUGGAGAUCUCAUCUAUUUCUCCUUCCCAGGGCAAUCCAUGCAUCCCUCUCAGGGUCCUCCUUGUUACCUCGCUUCUCUGGAGCUGUGGGUUAUAGCCUGAUUACCCUUUGCUUUACAUCUUAGCAUGCUAAGAAUCAUCUUCCAUUUUCUGCACGUUUUACAUAGUAGAGCAGAUUUCAUUUGAUGGCACCACACACCUAUAUGUUUAACUACUGGGAUAGCUGAAGCAGGGGGAUCACUAGUGCUGAGGAACUCAAGACCAACCUGGGCAACACAGUAACACUAUAUCUGUAAAACUAAGUUAAAAAUAUUUUUCUCAGCACUAGUACUACAACACAUAUGGAAUUCAUUCUCUUAUUCAGUUUUGAUUCCAGUAAGCGGUCACAGAAAGUGUAGUCAGUAUAAAGCACUGGUGGAGUGAGGUAAGGGACAGUCCAUGCCUCACAGAGAACAGAUUUGUCAGGUUGCUUUGUGGCUGUAACAAAGCUAAAAUACAGCAGUAUAUAGUAAAACACUGCAUCAAAAACAUACAGUAGACGCAGAUCUGAGCUAAGGCAUUUGUUGGUAUCAUACAACGUGGCGUGGUGACCCGAGGCAGUGGCUGCGUGCUGUGUACUCAGAACCAAGGCUGCAGUUGCUUGUAUGACAAAGGCAAGGACUGCCAGCAACACACAGCUUCAUCACCUCUUGGAUUCUGAAUUAAGUUGUGGGUUCUGUGCACUCACAACCCUUUCACUGUUGUCAAUUUUUUGUGACUUAUGUAGGGGUCGUGACCCUCAGUUUAAGAACCUGUGGUGUUCCAGCUCAGGAGUCAGUGUCCUAUGGAUUCAUCAGCUCUCAAGAGGCCAAGGGAGCAUCCUGAGUGGAAAAACUCCAGCCCUGACUGGUUAACACAGUAUACAAGAUCACCAGCAUCCUUUGGGCAGUGGGAACAGCGCUGUCUUUGGAGCAGGAGACUAUUCUGGCUCUGUAAUGAACACAGCUACCAAGUCAGGAGUACCAGCCACCUAAAUACAAUGAGAUGCCAUCUGCAUAUCUGAGCAAGUGGACAGGAUAGGCAGAGGCUUUGAGAAGAGUUCCGCCACAGUCUGACCCACUGUGGGCUGCCUGCAUGGAGUGCCUGCUGCCUGCUUCUGGUCCAGGGUCUCCAACUUCGGGAAUGCUGGGAUGGGAGUGACCAGUGGUGACUGCAAACCCUGCCCACAUCUGCUGAUUGUAGCCAUGACCACAGUCUGUCCUUGCUGGCACCUCAUUUUAUAUGUGACUGACUUUGAAGACUGUGCUUGCCCCUGAUGUUUUCAUCCAACACGGUUCAAACCUGUUCCUCUUCUGCCAUAAGCCCUAGCAAAGAGCAGCGUUCCAGAGCCGUUUGCCGACCUGUGAUGUCUGAGCACUUGAACUUUAAUAGUGACUCACAUGUUUUAUGGGAAGUGCAGAGCGCUCCUCUACACAGCACAGACAAACACUCACACCAAGUCUGGGAAUACCAUGCACCCCAACCCAAAUCCUUCCUGGGAUACAGCCAUCUCCUCCUCUGGAAAGCUUCCUCUCUGGGGAGAAGGGGGAGUGGACCUUCCAGAGCUGAAUGCUCCCCACAGCUGCACACCAGCCUGCGGUGAAGCACAAGCAUCAUUGUGGAAGGGCAUGAAGGAGAAAACAUGCUUACCUCAUGGGCGCUGGGAAGCAAAGAGAGGAGAGAGGCAGUGACCAGGACAAAUGAGAAUGCUCAAGUCACGGCCCUAGUGUUGUAUGAUGUUCUGUUUGUGUUCUGACAAAUAAAGCUUGCCUGGAGAUCAAAGGGUCGGAGAUAGUCACUAGUUAACCACAGAGGCCAGGCAGUGGUGGCACACACCUUUAAUCCCAGCACUUGGGAGGGGGAAUCAGAAAGACCAGGAGUUCAAGGCCACCCUCAGCUAUACGAGAUUGAUCCAGUCUAAAGGAGAACCAGAGCCAGGUGGCGGUGGUUCAUACCUUUAACCCCAGCACAUGGGAGGUUCAUGCCUUUAAUCCCAGCACUUAGAAGGAUCAUGCCUUUGAAAGCGACAGCCUACAGAAUGGGAAAAGAUCUUCACCAACCCCACAUCUGACAGAGGACUGAUAUCCAGAAUAUAUAAGGAAUUCAAGAAAUUAGACAUCAAAAUGCCCAACAGUCCAAUUAAGAAAUGGGCUAUAGAACUAAACAGAGAAUUCUCAACAGAGGAAACUCAAAUGGCCGAAAGACAUUUAAGGAACUGCUCAACAUCCCUAAUCAUCAGGGAAAUGCAAAUCAAAACAACUCUGAGAUACCACCUUACGCCUGUCAGAAUGGCUAAGAUCAAAAACACUGAAGACACCUUAUGCUGGAGAGGAUGUGGAGCUAGGGGAACUCUCCUCCACUGCUGGUGGGAAUGCAAGCUUGUACAACCACUUUGGAAAUCAAUAUGGCGCUUUCUUAGAAAAUUGGGAAUCAAUCUCCCCCAAGAUCCAGCUAUACCACUCUUGGGCAUAUACCCAAGAAAUGCUCAACCACGCCAUAAGAGCACUUGUUCAGCUAUGUUCAUAUCAGCAUUGUUUGUAAUAGCCAGAACAUGGAAACAACCCAGAUGCCCUUCAACUGAAGAAUGGAUAAACAAAAUGUGGUACAUAUACACAAUGGAAUACUACUCAGCAGAGAAAAACAAUGGCAUCAUGAGGUUUGCAGACAAAUGGAUGGAUCUAGAAAAAAUCAUCCUGAGUGAGGUAACCCAGACUCAGAAAGACAAACAUGGUAUGUACUCACUCAUAGCAGGAUACUAGACAUGAAACAAGGAUGACUUGUCUGCUACUCACAUCACCAGGGAGGCUACCUGGAAAACAGGACCCCAAGAAAGACACAGGGAUCGCCCAAUGACAGAGAAAUGGAAUGAGAUCUACAUGAACAGCUUGGACAUGAGUGGGGGUAAUGAAAGGCGAGGGUCGAGGGAAAGAGAGCUUGGGGGAGCGGGAGAUCCCAGCUGGAUCAACAACAGAGAGGGAGAACAAGGAAUAGGAGACCAUGGUAAAUGAAGACCACAUGAGAAUAGGAAGAAGCAAAGUGCUAGAGAGGCCCACAGAAAUCCACAAAGAUACCCACACAACAGACUGCUGGCAAUGGUCGAGAGACAGCCCGAACUGACCUACUCUGGUGAUGGGAUGGCCAAACACCCUAAUUGUUGUGCUAGAAACCUCAUCCAACUACUGAGGGAUCUGGAUGCAGAGAUCCAUGACUAGGCCCCAGGUGGAUCUCUGGGAGUCCAAUUAGCGAGAAUGAGGAGGGUUUAUAUGAGCGAGAAUUGUUGAGACCAAGGUUGGAUAAAGCACAGGGACAAAUAGCCAAAUGAAUGGAAACACAUGAACUAUGAACCAAUG